UACGAAGGGAGCUAGCGUUGUUCGGAAUUACUGGGCGUAAAGGGCGCGUAGGCGGUUCGGUAAGUCCUGUGUGAAAUCCCUCGGCUCAACUGAGGAACUGCACGGGAGACUGCCGGGCUUGAGUUCGGGAGAGGGAAGCGGAAUUCCGGGUGUAGCGGUGAAAUGCGUAGAUAUCCGGAGGAACACCGGUGGCGAAGGCGGCUUCCUGGACCGACACUGACGCUGAGGCGCGAAAGCUAGGGGAGCAAACGGG
rnacentral:rRNA from 1 species